rnacentral:lncRNA from 1 species
AUGGACUGUGGUUCUCUGGAUGCUGUUUCCUGCCUUUCCUGGAAAGAGGGAGAGCAUUUGAGUAAGCCAGCAGUGCCAGAGGGAAGAGCCUGCUCACAUGCACACCUGGCUGGAAAAGGAGAGGAGAAGAGCAGCAGAAGAAAAUGCCUUUGGGCAGGGAAGAAGAAAGGAACAGGGGUGAGAAGAUGGUGUGGAGAUGUGUCUCAUCAGCACUGGCUCUGCAGAAACCCGGCUGCCACCCCAGGGAGCCAGGCUGCCCCUGCCUGGGGGGGUCACACCCAUAGCCCUGUCGUGGAGGGGCUGGGCACCCACAUGGAGACAUGUCGGGGGGCACAAAGGGGCGCUGCUGUGGUGGACAGGGCCAAAAUCACCCCUCGAGCUCCUCUUCAGCUCUGCUCACCUUCCUGGCCUGCCUGCCAGUUACCUGUGUGAGGACACCUCUGUCUCAGCACUGCCGGGAUGAGGACACAGGGCCUCCCGGGCAGCGUUCGGCAGCACAGCGAGUUGUUCUGCCAAAAAGCCUGAGGGGAACCAAGAAACAGCCAGCUUGCCCCACAUACACAUCCACAACCACGUCCUGUCGCUUCAACUCGACUGACAGAACUGGGCUGCAGCGAGCAGCUUGCCCCAGCCGUGCCCACCGCCUGUCACUCCCACAGAGGUCCCCUCCCCAGACAGGUGGGCACAAGUGCUCUGGUUUCUCCUGCUCCCUGUGUUUGUGGGGAAAUUGAAGCCGUCAGCCUUGGCCCUCCCCAUGCUGAUGGUACCCAUGCUCAUUCCGACAUGUGGGCUCGUUUCUGGCCCUGCCGUGCGAGGUAGGAUGGGGGGAGCGGUGACUCACGAGUCACAGGGCUGCCACACACCUACAUGUCUCACCGCAUGGCGGUGGCCUCGAAGCUGCUGUGUAAUGGGGCCGCCCACGUGGUGGGUGCCUGGCCUAGCCACGAGUUCCCCUGUGGGGCUCUGAAGGCAGUUUGGGGCAGGUGGGGGCAGAAACGCAGUCCCUAGUGAGACAUGGUGCUGUUCAGGGCCAGGGGACAACGCACCCCUGUGUGAGCGACCUGUCUGGGCCACAUGGCAGCUCUGGGUGUUGGGAAGAACAGCUUUGGGCUGAGGAGGAGAGCAGAGAGCAAGGUCUUUGAUACUGACUUUGCAGUGGCUGGACUGCUCUGCUCUAUGCCAGCUCCCCAUGAAAGCUCUCCCGGUAGUCUGGAGGACGGGUCACCUCCUGCCCACCCCAAGCAGGGCAGCACUUUCAGCAAGUCCUGCCAGCGCUCGGCAUGAUGCCACAGAACGAGGCUCAGGCAAGCUUCACCAGGAGCAGUUUGCCUGCUCCAGCAUACAGGGAACUUCAGUGCAUGAAAUAAAACCAGGAAAAUCCACUUCUUGUUUUCUCUG